CAACCGCCGCCGCCGCAGUUCGCCGCCGAGCACUGCCGCCUGUUUCGAAGGAGCCAAUCGGAGCUGGGGGCGUGGUCUGGAGCCCCGCCCCCAGGGGCUUCCUGCGGCGCGCUGGCUGGGUGAGGACUGCGCGGCGGCCUCUGGUUGCAGAAGGACAAGGAGGAUGUGACAGAGCGUCCCUCCGUCUUGCAGGCUCAGUGGAGCGACAGCCCCUUCUGUUUGUGCCCGUCACGCAGGAGAGUGUGUGAAGCCCGCCUCUCAAGGCUGCUUCUGAGCGCCCAGGAGUUGCAGCUGCUUCCAACCCUAAAAUCCGCUCAUGUCCGGAUGGGCGCUGAUGCCUCCAGAAAUACAAACCAACCCAGCAGGAACCGGUCCUAAGCAAGUCUUUUAGACAGUGAACCCCCUCCCCUUACUCCGUACUGUGAAAGAUAGAGAGGGAGAGGAACCCUGCAGCCUCACUGGAUGCCAAAGGAGGCUGUUGGCCCUUCCUUCAGGAAACAUAGGGGAGGGGGAUUUGGAUGUCAAAGCAACAAUGUAACCAUGUGACUGUUACACUAUAGCGAUAGAUGCCAGUUAACUUCCAAAGUGGCUUUUGUUUGUUUGUUUUAAUGUGGCUGAAAGCCUGGAGGUCUGUGUUCUGGCUCAGGCCCUUAGUUUCCUGCCACUUCUGUUUGUUAAGUCCUGACACCUCAGUGGUUCGUCUUUCUCCCUCUCUGAAGUGUGGGCAUUGAACGGAAGCCUGGUCUCCAACAAAAACAGUACAGCACACUGCUGCUUUCAUAUGAAACAAAUGAAAACAGUCUGAAUCUUCAAAGUGUUGAGGAGCGUGGAAAUGGAAGUCUGUGAGGGAGGGUCAUGGCCAGAGCUUUGGAAGUGGCUGGAUCUUGAAGGAACAGCAAGAAGCUGUCAGGAGGACAUGGCAAGGAAGGAGUGCUUCCUAGGCAGAAGGAACCAGAAAUGUAGGAUACGUGGAGUUUGCAGUGUGAAACAAACAUGGAAGUAGAGAUACACUGAUGAUAGUUGAAUUAUCUAGAUCGACUUCAAUUCGUCUCAGAAGAUAAGGUCUACAGAACAAUUCAAUAGUUCCUGCAUACUUGCUCUUAUAUCAGGCUCUGCCCUAAGCGCCAGAGAUCCUGUUCUCCCAGAAUUCCAAGGAAGUGGAAAAGGCAAUCAUUAAAAAUUGACAAAUAUGUGAUAAAUGGACUUGAUUAUAUCAGACUGUAGUUGUUCCUGUUUUGUUUUGUUUUUAUUGCAGCUCAUCUCAGAACUCUGCUGACUACGUAGAAAUUCACCGUCUGUUAAAAUCACCCUGUGUUUCCCAAUAUUUACAUUUAAAACUAUGGAGCAACUUUCCUCAUUUAGCCAAAUUUUAAGUUGAUGCCUUAAAUUGGAUAUCAAAAUAUGUACGCUUCUAUCCAAAGCCUUAAGGAUAGCUGUGGCUAAUCCCCAGCAACAUUUUUGGAUUAAUUAAUAAUAAAUUGUGCUAUACAAAUCUUGCUUGAUGAGUCAAAUCUUAGCAGUGGUUCUUUUAUUUUUUUUCUUACAUAUAUGUCUGUGCCUACAUAUUUGAAUACUGUUAAUUUAAAACUAAAACUAUGCUCAAUGAGGAACAUAAAUGAACAUUUCCCCAUUACACACUGCACUUAAUGUCUUUAAGUCACUUACUGAAACCUUGCAACCUUUUAUAGGACUGCUUUGUUUUUAUUCCCUUGUUCA
ensembl:lncRNA